rnacentral:rRNA from 1 species
GUAGGUGGCAAGCGUUGUCCGGAAUUAUUGGGCGUAAAGCGCGCGCAGGGCGGUCCUUUAAGUCUGAUGUGAAAGCCCACGGCUCAACCGUGGAGGGUCAUUGGAAACUGGGGGGACUUGAGUACAGAAGAGGAAAGCGGAAUUCCAAGUGUAGCGGUGAAAUGCGUAGAGAUUUGGAGGAACACCAGUGGCGAAGGCGGCUUUCUGGUCUGUAACUGACGCUGAGGCGCGAAAGCGUGGGGAGCAAACAGGAUUAGAUACCCUGGUAGUCCACGCCGUAAACGAUGAGUGCUAAGUGUUAGGGGGGUUUCCGCCCCCUUAGUGCUGCAGCUAACGCAUUAAGCACUCCGCCUGGGGAGUACGGCCGCAAGGCUG